ACAAGGUGAUGACCUAUGAAUUGACAGCCAAUGAUUGUAACAUCUGCCUGUCAGUUCUGUAGGCCACUGCUGUGU
rfam:Larimichthys crocea isolate SSNF unplaced genomic scaffold scaffold71, whole genome shotgun sequence.